UACGUAGGGGGCAAGCGUUGUCCGGAAUCAUUGGGCGUAAAGCGCGCGCAGGCGGUCCCUUAAGUCUGAUGUGAAAGCCCACGGCUCAACCGUGGAGGGUCAUUGGAAACUGGGGGACUUGAGUACAGAAGAGGAAAGCGGAAUUCCACGUGUAGCGGUGAAAUGCGUAGAGAUGUGGAGGAACACCAGUGGCGAAGGCGGCUUUCUGGUCUGUAACUGACGCUGAGGCGCGAAAGCGUGGGGAGCAAACAGG
rnacentral:rRNA from 1 species